rnacentral:rRNA from 1 species
AGGGAAUCUUCCACAAUGGACGCAAGUCUGAUGGAGCAACGCCGCGUGAGUGAAGAAGGUUUUCGGACCGUAAAGCUCUGUUGUUGGUGAAGAAGGAUAGAGGUAGUAACUGGCCUUUAUUUGACGGUAAUCAACCAGAAAGUCACGGCUAACUACGUGCCAGCAGCCGCGGUAAUCGUAGGUGGCAAGCGUUGUCCGGAUUUAUUGGGCGUAAAGCGAGCGCAGGCGGAAGAAUAAGUCUGAUGUGAAAGCCCUCGGCUUAACCGAGGAAUUGCAUCGGAAACUGUUUUUCUUGAGUGCAGAAGAGGAGAGUAGAACUCCAUGUGUAGCGGUGGAAUGCGUAGAUAUAUGGAAGAAUACCAGUGGCGAAGGCGGCUCUCUGGUCUGCAACUGACGCUGAGGCUCGAAAGCAUGGGUAGCGAACAGGAUUAGAUACCCUGGUAGUCCAUGCCGUAAACGAUGAGUGCUAAGUGUUG